rnacentral:rRNA from 1 species
ACAAAGAGCAGCAAGUUCGCGAGGACAAGCAAAUCUCAUAAACCGUGGCUCAGUUCAGAUCGUAGGCUGCAACUCGCCCACGUGAAGGAGGAAUCGCUAGUAAUCGCAGGUCAGCAUACUGCGGUGAAUACGUUCCCGGGCCUUGUACACACCGCCCGUCACACCAUGGAAGUUGGCCACGCCCGAAGCCGUUACUCCAACCCUUGUGGAGGAGGACGUCGAAGGUGGGGCUGAUGACUGGGGUGAAGUCGUAACAAGGUAGCCGUACCGGAAGGUGCGGCUGGAUCACCUCCUAA